GGUGAUAGGGGCCAGCCCAGUGGCGCAGCAGUUAAGUUCACACAUUCCGCUUCUCAGAGGCCCGGAGUUCGCCAGUUCAGAUCCCGGGUGCAAACAUGGCACCGCUUGCCAAAAGCCAUGCUGUGACCCAGAGCCCCUGAAGCCUCCUCCAUCCCAAGCAGAAAACCAGAUGCUGCCAUGGAACCAACACCCAAGCACCAGGCCCAGAACAAGAAGCAGCAUGACCCAAGGGCUGGGCAGGGGCCAAGGCCAAGUGAGGGGACAAUAGGAAGCGGACCAGCAUCCAGCAUCCCUCGAGGAUGGGACCCUGAGGAACUGACGGGUUCCUGGUUGGGAGGUGACCAAGGAAGAGGAGUCCAGAGUGCAGACCUCUGAGGCCAGAGAGAGAGAGCUCCUUGAAGACUGAAGAUUCAGCUGUUUCCUGUAAAAUGUCACUCUUUUGUUCAUUUCCUCCUUGGAGACACGGCAAUCAAUUCUGCUUUACUUGACUUAAG
rnacentral:lncRNA from 1 species